rnacentral:lncRNA from 1 species
CCGCAGCGGGAAAGGCCCGCCAGGCCCCGGCCGCGCCUCCCGCCCACCAGCUAUCGCGAGACUGACCGCGCCGGGGCCUGCGCGCCGGAACCGGAAGGAGCGCGGCCGACCACGCGGGGGGAGGGGGGCUUAGUGCGCGUGCGCAGCGGGCCUCCGCCGCGUUUCCGGCCGGCGACCAAAGCGAGCGGCGGGCGGAAGGAAGGAAGGAAGGAAGGAAGGAAGCGGCUUCCCGAAGGCGGGGUCUGAAAAGCCAGUCUAUCUCAGGAGGUCCACUGGUUCACUUUAUAAAGAUUUCUUACUGAUCAUGGAGGCUGGAGAAUUUUCUUCAAGGUGACCCUUUCCACCCGUGACUCAUGCCUUCAGUGACAAGAUGAACGCCUCUGGGAGACUGGGGAAAAGGGGGACUUUUCCCUCAAAACUUCUAGAGCUUCAGAUUGUCAAGGGACUCAUGGUCACAAACUUCCUGGACAGUGAACAUAACCUAAGGCUGCUGCUAACUCAGGAUAGAGAAGUUUUUCUGAGGCUUUUCUUUCUGCGUUGCCUGCACCUAAUCAGCUCCCCUAUAUAUUUUCAAAUAACCUCUGAAAAUACACUCUCUGUAUCUUUCCCAACAAACCCCAUAAUUCCUUAUUCUGUUUUCCUGAAUAAUUACUUUCAAACGUUUUUCCAUGUCUUAAGAGUGCACAGUGAAUGA